GCCCCUGGGGAGUUUCCCUCAUUGCAUGAAAACCAGAAUGAAAUCUCUGUUGCUUUUCCUUUCCCUGCUCUCAACCCUCACCUGUGUUCUCUCCCAGGUGCAGCUGGUCCAGUCUGGCCAGGGCGUGGUGAAGCCCGGAGAGACCCUCGCACUGACCUGCGCUGUCUCCGGCUUCUCUAUCACUACUCAGCAUUACGACUGGCACUGGAUCCGGCAGCCCCCCGGGAAAGGGCUGGAGUGGAUGGGACGGGUAUAUCCAUAUAGUAGCAGUGCCACAAACUACGCCCCGUCUCUCCAAGCCCGAAUCACCAUCUCUGCAGACACCGCCAAGAACCAGUUCUCCCUGCAGCUGCGCUCGCUGACAGCUGCAGACACCGGCACCUAUUACUGCGCCCGGAUAACCUAUGAGAAGUGGACGGGAUGCGGGCCUGUUCUGAUGUACAGCGUCUCCUGCACUUUAAGAACAGGGGCAGUUUCAGCUAAAAUUUGA